rnacentral:rRNA from 1 species
UACGUAGGGUGCGAGCGUUAAUCGGAAUUACUGGGCGUAAAGCGUGCGCAGGCGGUUUUAUAAGACAGAUGUGAAAUCCCCGGGCUUAACCUGGGAACGGCGUUUGUGACUGUAAGACUAGAGUGUAGCAGAGGGGGGUGGAAUUCCACGUGUAGCAGUGAAAUGCGUAGAUAUGUGGAGGAACAUCGAUGGCGAAGGCAGCCCCUGGGUUAGCACUGACGCUCAUGCACGAAAGCGUGGGGAGCAAACAGGAUUAGAAACCCG